GAUGAAGAACGCAGCGAAAUGCGAUAAGUAAUGUGAAUUGCAGAAUUCAGUGAAUCAUCGAAUCUUUGAACGCACAUUGCGCCCCCUGGUAUUCCGGGGGGCAUGCCUGUCCGAGCGUCAUUACAACCCUCAAGCUCAGCUUGGUGUUGGGCCCCGCCGCCCCGGCGGGCCCUAAAGUCAGUGGCGGUGCCGUCCGGCUCCGAGCGUAGUAAUUCUUCUCGCUCUGGAGGUCCGGUCGUGUGCUCGCCAGCAACCCCCAAUUUUUUUCAGGUUGACCUCGGAUCAGGUAGGGAUACCCGCUGAACUUAAGCAUAUCAAUGCGGAGGA
rnacentral:misc_RNA from 1 species